AAUACUUGAACGGAUUAUUUCUUUAUCAAAUGUAUACCAACGCUCAUAAGGAAAUGAUCUGUGCCGACUCUUUGAAUGUUGGUCUAAAUCGGUUUUUAUUACUCACAAUUGGUUUAUGGCCUUAUCAACAAUCUAAAAUCGUACGACUUCAAGUAAUUUUAUGUAUUGGUAUUUUGGCAAGUUUUAUUUUAGUUCAGCUUACAGUAUUUGUGACUUUAAAAUGUACUCUGGAUUUGCUUAUCAACGUUCUCUCUUCUGCAUUAUGUUAUACAAUAUUUGCAAUCAAAUACAUUUCGUUUAGCAUUAAUACUGAUAUUGUAAAAUAUUUGUUGGAACAACUACAGGAUAUCUGUAACGAGUUAACUGAUGAGAAUGAAAUCAAUAUUAUAAAAAAGUACAGUAGCUAUGCGAAACGUUAUACACUCCUAUCAUUACUGUUUGCCAUAUCAUGUAUAUCCAUUUUAAUUUUAUACGCAUUAUUUCCACAAAUUUUCAAUAUCCAAUUCUUAAGAAAUGCAACCGGACAUUAUUCAUUGCCGUUAAUGACUGAAUAUUUCAUCGAUCAAGAAAAACAUUUUUAUUUAAUAUUGUGCCAUGCAAACGCGGCCACUGGUUUAGGAGUUACCAUAAUAUUAGGAACAGGAACAAUGUUCAUAUUUUAUCAACAACAUGCGUGUGGAAUGUUUAAAAUCGCCAGUUAUCGUAUUAAACAAGCAAUAACGUACGAUACUUUACGAAAAAACAGCACGGAGAAAGAAAAUUUAAUUUACAAAGGAUUAAUUUGUGCAGUAGAUAUGCAUCGCAAAGCUAUGAACUUCUCUGAUUUGAUAAUAUCCAGGUUUAAAAUAAUGUUCUCUCUUUUGAUAAUAGCUGGGGUGACUAGCAUGACUCUUAAUAUGUUUCGGAUUUUUCAGAUGGUAUCAUUUGGAUAUAAUGAAGAUAUUAUGCAGCUUUUAACUCCGAUACUAUAUGCACUUACUACAUUGGUGUACAUAAUGAUGGCCAACUAUUUUGCACAACAAAUUAUAGAUCAUAAUAAUAAUUUAUUUGUCACCGUGUAUAAGAUUCAGUGGUAUAUAGCUCCAUUACAUAUACAGAAGUUGAUACUAUUUCUAUUACAAAGAGGUACCAAGACAUUCAAUAUGAAUAUUGCUGGAUUGUUUGUGGGAUCAUUAGAAGGCGCAGCUACGAUAAAAUAAUUGUUGGAGCAAGUGUAGCAUAUUUACAACCAACUAACUGAUGAGAAUGAAGUCAGUAUUUCAGAAAAAUAUGGCACUUAUGCAAAACGUUACACAAUUUUUUUUUCUAUUGUUAAUGUUGGGGAUAAAUGUUCCGCGCCGUAGUUUUUUGUUGUGGUGGCACUACUUCCUAGAGGCUUAGAUCGAUGGAUCGAUCUUCUUACGUUGCGCGUCUGCGCACUUUCGUUUUCCGCGUCUUCUUGUACCCACGUAUACACACGCUGCUGCGUGCAUUUCUAAACCUCUUUGUAUCAUUGUCAAAUAUAUGUACUUUGUAACAAUAAUAGUGUGUCUCACUCUGCACUACCGAUUUACU